CAAGUCGAGGGGUAACAGGGGUAGUUUACUAUUUGCUGACGACCGGCGCACGGGUGAGUAACGCGUAUACAAUUUGCUUUAUACUGGAGGAUAGCCCAGAGAAAUUUGGAUUAAUACUCCAUAGUAUUAUUAUAUGGCCUCAUAUGAUAAUUAAAGAUUUAUUGGUAUAAGAUGAGUAUGCGUUCUAUUAGCUAGAUGGUAGAGUAAUGGUUUACCAUGGCAACGAUAGAUAGGGGCCCUGAGAGGGGGAUCCCCCACACUGGUACUGAGACACGGACCAGACUCCUACGGGAGGCAGCAGUGAGGAAUAUUGGACAAUGGAGGCAACUCUGAUCCAGCCAUGCCGCGUGCAGGAAGACUGCCCUAUGGGUUGUAAACUGCUUUUAUAUAGGAAGAAACCUUUCCACGUGUGGGAAGCUGACGGUACUAUAAGAAUAAGCACCGGCUAACUCCGUGCCAGCAGCCGCGGUAAUACGGAGGGUGCAAGCGUUAUCCGGAAUCAUUGGGUUUAAAGGGUCCGUAGGCGGGCUAAUAAGUCAGAGGUGAAAUCCCACAGCUUAACUGUGGAACUGCCUUUGAUACUGUUAGUCUUGAGUUUUAGUGAAGUAGAUAGAAUAUGUAGUGUAGCGGUGAAAUGCUUAGAUAUUACAUAGAAUACCGAUUGCGAAGGCAGU
rnacentral:rRNA from 1 species